GAUGAACGCUGGCGGCGUGCCUAAUACAUGCAAGUCGAGCGAACGGACGAGAAGCUUGCUUCUCUGAUGUUAGCGGCGGACGGGUGAGUAACACGUGGAUAACCUACCUAUAAGACUGGGAUAACUUCGGGAAACCGUAGCUAAUACCGGAUAAUAUUUUGAACCGCAUGGUUCAAAAGUGAAAGACGGUCUUGCUGUCACUUAUAGAUGGAUCCGCGCUGCAUUAGCUAGUUGGUAAGGUAACGGCUUACCAAGGCAACGAUGCAUAGCCGAGCUGAGAGGGUGAUCGGCCACACUGGAACUGAGCCACCGUCCAGACUACUACGGGAGGCAGCAGUAGGGAACCUUCCGCAAUGGGCGAAAGCCUGACGGAGCGACGCCGCGUGAGUGAUGACGGUCUUCGGAUCGUAAAACUCUCUUAUUAGGGAAGAACAUAUGUGUAAGUAACUGUGCACAUCUUGACGGUACCUAAUCAGAAAGCCACGGCUAACUACGUG
rnacentral:rRNA from 1 species